UGGCGGCAGUAGCGCGGUGGUCCCACCUGACCCCAUGCCGAACUCAGAAGUGAAACGCCGUAGCGCCGAUGGUAGUGUGGGGUCUCCCCAUGCGAGAGUAGGGAAC
rnacentral:rRNA from 3 species